rnacentral:rRNA from 1 species
AGAGUUUGAUCCUGGCUCAGGAUGAACGCUGGCGGUCUGCUUAACACAUGCAAGUCGAACGGAGUCCUCCAGGAUUUAGUGGCGGACGGGUGAGUAACGCGUGAGAAUCUGCCCUUAGGUUGGGGACAACAGUUGGAAACGACUGCUAAUACCCAAUGUGCCGAGAGGUGAAAGGUUAACUGCCUGGGGAUGAGCUCGCGUCUGAUUAGCUAGUUGGAGUGGUAACGGCACACCAAGGCGACGAUCAGUAGCUGGUCUGAGAGGAUGAUCAGCCACACUGGGACUGAGACACGGCCCAGACUCCUACGGGAGGCAGCAGUGGGGAAUUUUCCGCAAUGGGCGAAAGCCUGACGGAGCAAGACCGCGUGAGGGAGGAAGGCCUAUUGGUUGUAAACCUCUUUUGAUAGGGAAGAACACAAUGACGGUACCUAUCGAAUCAGCAUCGGCUAACUCCGUGCCAGCAGCCGCGGUAAUACGGAGGAUGCAAGCGUUAUCCGGAUUUAUUGGGCGUAAAGCGUCCGUAGGUGGCAAACCAAGUCAGUUGUUAAAGCGUAGAGCUUAACUCUAUAAGGGCAAUUGAAACUGGUUAGCUAGAGUGCGAUAGGGGCAAGGGGAAUUCCCAGUGUAGCGGUGAAAUGCGUAGAUAUUGGGAAGAACAUCGGUGGCGAAGGCGCCUUGCUGGGUCUGCACUGACACUGAGGGACGAAAGCUAGGGGAGCGAAAGGGAUUAGAUACCCCUGUAGUCCUAGCCGUAAA